rnacentral:lncRNA from 1 species
GAGAAAUUGUGAGAGUAUUUUCAGCAUUGAUGACAUUGUCGUUCCUAGGUCUCUGUUUUCAUCAGUGAAAGUGGAAAGACUUAACUAUAAGAACAUUUUGACACCCAGUUGGCGAAAGGUGGAUAUUUUGCCUUUAUCGAAAAGAGAGGAGGAUGAGCAAGAGGAAGGGAUGUCAGAAGCAAUAGAAGAUGAAGAUUUCUUACAGAGGCACCAGAGUGAUGAGCGUAGAGAGAAACUACGCUGGUCCUACUGGGAUCAGGACAGAAGACACAGGAUCAGGUCAUCCAGGAAAAUCUGCUUUUCUGUAUCUGUGAGAGAGCAUCCUGCUCACUGCCACCCACCUGUACAUUCUCCUGUUCCCUUCACCUGGACCUUCAGUACUUCUGAAGAUUCAUCAGAAGCCAGCGUGGAUGAAAAAGAGCCAACGCAACCAUGGAGGAGACGUACGUUCCCCCUGACUGGUGAAGAUGAGGAA